AUUGAACGCUGGCGGUAGGCCUAACACAUGCAAGUCGAACGGCAGCACAGUAAGAGCUUGCUCUUACGGGUGGCGAGUGGCGGACGGGUGAGGAAAACAUCCGUAUCUACUUUUUCGUGGGGGAUGACGUAGGGAAACUUACGCUAAUACCCCAUACGGCGUACGGGUGAAAGCAUGGGAUCUUCGGACCUUGCGCGAUUGAAUGAGCCGAUGUCGGAUUAGCUAGUUGGCGGGGUAAAGGCCCACCAAGGCGACGAUCCGUAGCUGGUCUGAGAGGAUGAUCAGCCACACUGGAACUGAGACACGGUCCAGACUCCUACGGGAGGCAGCAGUGGGGAAUAUUGGACAAUGGGCGCAAGCCUGAUCCAGCCAUACCGCGUGGGUGAAGAAGGCCUUCGGGUUGUAAAGCCCUUUUGUUUGGAAAGAAAAGCAGCAGGUUAAUACCUCGCUGUUCUGACGGUACCCAAAGAAUAAGCACCGGCUAACUUCGUG
rnacentral:rRNA from 1 species